CAUUAAGAAGCUAUGUACCAGCACUAGCCUUUUAAGCUAGCGAAAGAGGACUAUUCCUCCUCCUUAAUGG
rnacentral:tRNA from 1 species